AAUAUGCUAAAAUUAAUUUGAAUGUUGUUUGCUUAUUUUGGUACUUGUUGAUUAACCCUUGCUAUAGUUUCAAUUUUAUGUAUGCGUGAUAAACUAUUUUUGUCUUUUUUCCACUUACUUUGGAUGAUUAAUUUGGAAAAACAAAGUUUUAAACUUAAUUAAAGGAUUAAUAUAUGUUUAGGGAAAAGACUAUGACUAAUUCAGAGUUGUUGAGUAUGGCUCAUAAUUACUUAUGGAAAUUGCUAUAUUAGCCCAUCAGUUUUGCUCAAAAGCCCCUCGGUUUAUCGGAACAUAACUUCCUAUUGCACAAAACUUAUUGGUCCAAUCGGCCUUUUUUUUUUCUUCCAUCGGAUGAUGUCUUUCGAUCAACUUAUUUCAGGUAUAGAGCUAUCCAAGGGGCGCAUAGAGCAACUGUCAAUAGUUACAAUUGGGCAGGUCGGCUAGGCCUAUACGUUUGUUGGGCUGCGACUGGAUUGGAGGGAGAUCUCACAUUGAAUGCAUAUGAAGAGGAUUGUGAAUUUGCGGAUCCAGCAUGAUCUUUCAAAGGACUUCCGUGUUUUAAAAGGAACUGCACUAAUUUUGGAUCCCUUCUGAGGAUAAAUGAAUUGGCCACUGGUGAUUCAGCUGCGUCUUAUCCUUUCCUUGGAGGCUUAUUCUUUCUGCAACUGGAUACACAGAAUAUUAUUUUGAUACACAAUCAGGAAAAGUAUGCAGUCAUGCGGAGCAUUGGAAUGUUCCAAAAGUGGCUUUGUUCAAGCAAAUUCUAAGGCCUAGCAAGGGAUUUAGCUUAAAAGAUUAUGUGACUAGGUGGUUGAAGUUGUCCAGGUGAAUAGGAGCUUAUGAUGUACUAGCAGUGGCGGAUCUUGAAAUAUUUUCUUGGGGGUGCCAGAAUUGUAUGAAAUAUAUAUUAAGUUGUUUCAAGAGAAGGAUAUAAUUGUUAACUGGUCCAGUGGUUUGUUUUGCUUGAAUGCAGAGCAGGGUCGAACUCGCGACCUCUGAUGGAAAAUCAAACAUCAUUUCCACUGCACCUUCUGAGUUCUAGUAUACAUAUUAUGCCUAAUCUAAUAUAUAUAGAAUAUCUGGGGGGGUACCAUGGCUCCCAGGGGUCCCUGGGAAGAUCCGCCCCUGUGUACUAGUAAUAUCCUGUAUAUAUAUGGUUUACCAGAUUAAUUAGGUUUGUGAAUGUGGUUUUGUUACCAGAAAAAAUAACAGAGAAAAGGAGAUAA